GGUGAACGCUGGCGGCGUGCCUAAUACAUGCAAGUCGAGCGAACGGACGAGAAGCUUGCUUCUCUGAUGUUAGCGGCGGACGGGUGAGUAACACGUGGAUAACCUACCUAUAAGACUGGGAUAACUUCGGGAAACCGGAGCUAAUACCGGAUAAUAUUUUGAACCGCAUGGUUCAAAAGUGAAAGACGGUCUUGCUGUCACUUAUAGAUGGAUCCGCGCUGCAUUAGCUAGUUGGUAAGGUAACGGCUUACCAAGGCAACGAUGCAUAGCCGACCUGAGAGGGUGAUCGGCCACACUGGAACUGAGACACGGUCCAGACUCCUACGGGAGGCAGCAGUAGGGGAUCUUCCGCAAUGGGCGAAAGCCUGACGGAGCAACGCCGCGUGAGUGAUGAAGGUCUUCGGAUCGUAAAACUCUGUUAUUAGGGAAGAACAUAUGUGUAAGUAACUGUGCACAUCUUGACGGUACCUAAUCAGAAAGCCACGGCUAACUACGUG
rnacentral:rRNA from 1 species